rnacentral:lncRNA from 14 species
GUAAACUUUUAUGAGUUUGAGGCAAGCCUGGUCUACAUAGUGAGUUCCAGGACGACGAGGGUCACAUUGUCAUUGCCUCAAAAAACCAAAACAAACAGAAAAAGAGAAGAAAAUAUUACAACAGAAAGGGGAAAAGCUAUGUGGGGCAGUGAGCAGAGACCCCCCAAGAGGCCCAUGCAGAGAGGAACUGUGUCCAGAAUAGCUGAGGAUGUGACCCAAGGGUGUUAGAGGGAACAGGGCCCUGUAGCCAAGUCAUCUUGUUCUUUCUCCACAGAAAGUGCCCUUUCUCUGUUCCUAUGCUGAGAAUCUAAGCCAGGGCCUCAGGUGUGCAGGUCAGUGCUACACCCUGAGCUACACCUCAGCCCAACCCAUCUAACUGAAUGCACAGAUGUUCCAAAACCCAUGGAACCAAGACCUGUCACUGGAUAUAAGGAAAAUGUACCCCCAAAGACUGUGGCUGUUCUGAGGCCAGAGCUGAAGAGACCCUGAAGAAACCUGGACAUCAGCCUGGGAUUGGAGGAGGCCAGAGGAUGCCCAUGGGCCAGGUCACCACACACUCCCAAGACUCAGUGCUAUGCCAGAAGCCCUACCAAGUCCAAAGUAACCUAGCCAGCCCACGUCCCCGCCUGGCCCUUGCCCUGAAGGACACUGCUGGCCGACUAGGUGACACAGGGCUCUGGCAACAGAGUAAUCUACAGCUGCCAACAGGGAGGUCCCAGGGGAGGACCCGAGAGCCUUCUGUACAGCAGAGUAACCUGUGCUUCCGAGGGACCACUAGCCCUCAUCUGCAAAACAGCUGCCUGCCACCAACUGGCCCAUCCUCCCACCAGAAGCAGACACUCCAGGUCGCAGACACCUUCUUGAGUCUCCCUGGGGGCUUGGCACCUCUUGAUGGGUGCACAUGGCCUGGUCCCAGGUCCUGGUGUGGCUCAGGGAGCUGGGCCCCCAGGCUUGUGGGGGAACCUCUCACCUUGGAGGAUCUGUCUAUCUCUGCCCACAGUCAGUCUCAGGCUUCAUCCCCUUCCUCCUGCAGUACUGCCGACUGGCUGCUGGACUCCAUCCAACACCUAGAACCUGAGGCCACCAGUUUAGGGAACCAGAUAUCCUGGGAGCACCCAGGCCUUACCCAGAGUGGACCCCACACCCGUGGUAACCAGUCAACUCCUGCCCAACCUUGGCCCAGCCACUCUAGGGAAUGUAUAAGCUUCCUGGAGACUCUGGGGGUCCAAGCUAGACUCUCUGAGUCCCCUAUAUAUAAGCCCCUGUCACGUGAGACCACUCUGGGAACACUGGCUGGGGUUCUCUCUGACUCAGACCAGGAGGUUCUACCUACCCGGCACCUUGGGACAAGAGAGAGGGGUCCCCGAGGCUUUCUAUGUAACAAGAGGCACAGAGGGCACUUCAGUGUCACCCUUGAGGCGGGCAGCAAAGAGACCAGACUUGAAUCUACAAGGGUCUUCAGUGUCCAGCCUGGCAAAGCAGGAAGAGAGAAGACCCCACAGGGACAAACAGGCAGGGAUGGGGAGAGGACGGCCUCCUGCCUGUCAAAUACAGCCCCGGCUCACAGCACUCUGCAGGAUAAGGCUCAAAGCACUGUGACCCUGGACUCCCAGGCUGCUUGCUGGAAGCUGCUGUCCAAAAGUUUCAGAGUCUGGAGGUACUUGUCACAGAGACUCCAGGCAGUGGCUAAGGCCACAGCUAUGAGACAUAGGCAGCUGAUUGGAGAGAGCCCCAGAGAACUGCGUUGGGCCCCAUGGCUCCAGGAGACCCGGCUGGAGGCAGCUUGGGGUCAGCAUGCGAAGGCUCUUCUAGCCUGGAGCUUCCGAGAGAAACUGGAGCAAGCUCAUACCCAGGCUGCGCCAACAUUCCUUGCUCCUAGGGGGAGCCUUUCCUUGGAAAGAAAAGCAGCCACAGAUCUUGCCUGGAGAUGCAGGGACAAGUGCUUUAGGGCCUGGCUACGGUUCGUGCAAAGAGGGGCCCAGUGCAGAAGACAUCUGGCCCACCGAAGAGUGAGGACCUUAAGGGUAUGCCUGGGACGGUGGGUGGAGAUGAAGCUCCAGGGCUCAGAUGUGACGGAGGUGACUCAGUUGGCCCUCUACUGGCAGAAGGCAGGGAACGAGGUUCUCAGCAGCUUAGUCCCAGGAACUUCCAUGGUCCCUGGCCUGGAGACAGAGGCCCAGGUCCAACAGCCAUACAAGGGGCCAGAUCUGUGCUCCCUGUGGGAAAUGUGCCAGAAGUUGGCCCUGUACCGGGCCCUGCUGCUCUGGAGGACACGACUCUACCAACACCAGCAAGCUGUCUCCUCCUUUCAGGGCAUGCAGAAGCGGGUUCUGCAGCACAUCCUGAGCCAGUGGCACUUGAGGGUCUGGGGUCCAGACCCUCCCUCAAGCGACAUGAAGGCCAGGUUACCCCUGGAGGCACAGGGCAGUAGCCCAAGAUGGGAGGCCUGGCUGGACUGCAGAACUUCAGGAGGGGCGCUGGAGAAGCGCUCUCCUCAGCUGGAGCCACUGGACUGCAGCUCAAGGAGCCUGGGAAGACCUAGUUGCUCACUGAGCCUGGAUCAGAGCGUCGGGGCUGUGAUGGGUCUGUGCAGGCAGCGGCUGACGCACUCGUGGACAGUGCAGGAGAGUCCAGGAGCGAGGCCAGGGACUGGUGCGAGUGGCCCUGAGCCACCAGCUCUCCUGCUGACAGAGGGAGCCAAGGACUGGGCGGGGACACCUGGGAGAGGAGAAGGCCAGGGUUCCUUAGUGACACUCUGAGUUCCAGACCCAUCUCAGAGCCCAGGAUUGGAUCAUGGAGGGUACACCCAGGAGCGGGUCUCUGCUUUCUCAUCUUUGACUGUGUGGAUCUUGAACAAGCCACUUAAGCACUCUCAGUCUGUGCUAGGCCAUUGUAAACCAGGAAUAAGACUGUGCUCUCUUUACAAAGUGCCUGUGGGGAUCCUGUCAGACAGUCCACAGCAAACUCUGGGCCGGAGCAUCAGCACCUCCCUCCUCUUCGCCUGUCACCUUUGCCUUGCCUGGCCUCCAGGUGUUGCUGGCCUAAGGUCGAGGAAGACAGAGUCCUGGUGCUCUCAGGGCCAUGAUGCCAAUAGGCUUGCGGAGCAAGCAGCCUGGGAGAGGAGCCUGUGUGGGAAAAGAAGGGGUUGAACCCCCCUAGCUUCCCAGAUUCCUAAUCCUUUGUCCUCAGUUUGACCCCAGCCAAGUUGCAGUCACAUCUCCAGGAGGCGCCCACCCCUUCCUGAGCAACAAAUAACACCAACAUUUUCUGUAACUAAUUAACUUCAGUUCUGGGGAUAGAAUCCAGCGCUCUGGUCUACCACCGAGCCACACUACAGCCCCUAUUACAGUUUUGUCUUAAUUAAUUAGUUAAUUAGUGGGUUGUGUGUGUGCUGCAGCUCUCGUGUGGAAGUCAGUUCUCUCUAUCACGUGCAUGACUCCAGGGGACUAAACUCAGAUUGCCAGGUUAUACUUUUAAACCACAGACCUUUAGCAUUUCAUGGUGUCAAUGGAGCAAGAGGGAGUCAGAUGGCUUAGGGGACCCCUCUGUCUCUCUCUCUCCCAACGGACUGCCCAGUGAGGGGGUCACCUAGGGCUGGAGCUACAUCUGAAAGCUCUGUGGGGGGCUAGGCACCCACUUCUAAGUUCCUUUGUGAGGGUCCUGGUAAGUCUCACCACAGAGCGUCUGCAGAACCCACUUAUUCAAGGUGAGUGACUGAAGAGGUGGUAGAGCAUGUCCAAUCAGAAGCUCCUCUCUCUGUCUCUCUCUGUCUCUCUCUCUCUGUCUCUCUCUAUCUCUCUCUGUCUCUAUCUCUCUCUCUAUCUCUUUCUCUGUCUCUCUCUCUGUCUCUCUCUGUCUCUCUCUCUCUGUCUCUCUCUGUCUCUCUGUCUCUCUCUGUCUCUCUCUCUGUCUCCUGUCUCUCUGUGUCUCUCUCUCUGUCUCCUGUCUCUCUGUGUCUCUGUCUCUGUCUCUGUCUCUGUCUCUGUCUCUCUCUUUCUCUCUCCACCAGAAGAGGACACGAGAUCCCAGUGUUGGCUGUGAGGUACCAUGUAGUUGCUGGGAUUUGAACUCAGGACCUGUGGAAGAGCACACAGUGCUCUUAACCACUGAGCCAUCUCUCCAGCCCAAAGCUCCUGUCUCUUUACAACCUAAUCCUGUAUUUUUACUUAUUGAAUCAUCUUGCUGGUUCGUUGGCAGCCAUCUUCAAUGUCCUGUACGCCCACCGGUCGCAGCAGUGAGCUGUUAGGCAGGUUUGACCGUCUUAGGCAGCUGGUGUCCUGCCCACUGGAGACAGCUGCUUCUCUAGCCCCAUACUUGUCUGUUAGGGAUGAACGGCAAAUCUUCUGGUUUUAAAAGGGAGAUCUGGGAGCUGGAGAGAUGGCUUAGGGGUUAAGAGCACUGGCUGCUCUUCUAGAGGUCCUGAGUUCAAAUCCCAGCAACCACAUGGUGGCUCACAACCAUCUGUAAUGGGAUCUGAUUACUUUGUCUGGUGUGUGUGAAGACAGCUACAGUGUACUUA